UACAGAGGGGGCUAGCGUUGCUCGGAAUCACUGGGCGUAAAGGGUGCGUAGGCGGGUCUUUAAGUCAGGGGUGAAAUCCUGGAGCUCAACUCCAGAACUGCCUUUGAUACUGAGGAUCUUGAGUUCGGGAGAGGUGAGUGGAACUGCGAGUGUAGAGGUGAAAUUCGUAGAUAUUCGGAAGAACACCAGUGGCGAAGGCGACUCACUGGACAGGUAUUGACGCUGAGGUGCGAAAGCGUGGGGAGCAAACAGG
rnacentral:rRNA from 1 species